AUUGAACGCUGGCGGCAGGCCUAACACAUGCAAGUCGAGCGAGCGGCGGACGGGUGAGUAAUGUAUGGGGAUCUGCCCGAUAGAGGGGGAUAACUACUGGAAACGGUAGCUAAUACCGCAUACUAUCGGAUGAACCCAUAUGGGAUUGGCUAGUAGGUGGGGUAAAGGCUCACCUAGGCGACGAUCCCUAGCUGGUCUGAGAGGAUGAUCAGCCACACUGGCACUGAGACACGGCCCAGACUCCUACGGGAGGCAGCAGUGGGGAAUAUUGCACAAUGGGCGCAAGCCUGAUGCAGCCAUGCCGCGUGUAGGAAGAAGGCCUUAGGGUUGGAAAGUACUUUCAGCGGGGAGGCGUUACCCGCAGAAGAAGCACCGGCUAACUCCGUGCCAGCAGCCGCGGUAAUUC
rnacentral:rRNA from 1 species